rnacentral:misc_RNA from 1 species
UUGCUUGGCCGACACAUCUGGGGAAGUCUUUGUCACAACAGGUACUUUACUCUUACUAUAUGUUUCUUAUUUUUAAAUUAAUUCAUGCAACGUGCCUCAAAUUAGGCCAUUUAACUUUGUUUUAUGAACAGGUAGCUGUCUCUCCGGCAAAACCAUCUCCAAAGCUUGAUCUGGAGGUCGAUGAUCCACUUUAUCUGAUGGCAUUGACCAUCCUAGAGCUUUUCUUGAGGCCUUAUCAGGUUACAUGGGAUGUCACCGUGUU